UACGGGGGGAGCAAGCGUUGUUCGGAUUUACUGGGCGUAAAGGGCGCGUAGGCGGCCACUGCAAGUCAGUUGUGAAAUCUCCGGGCUUAACCUGGGAACUGCGUGUGAUACUGGAUGGCUUGAAUCCGGGAGAGGGAUGCGGAAUUCCAGGUGUAGCGGUGAAAUGCGUAGAUAUCUGGAGGAACACCGGUGGCGAAGGCGGCAUCCUGGAGCUUUGCUGACGCUGAGGCGCGAAAGCGUGGGGAGCGAUCCGG
rnacentral:rRNA from 1 species